rnacentral:rRNA from 1 species
UACGGGGGGGGCAAGCGUUGUUCGGAAUUACUGGGCGUAAAGGGCUUGUAGGUGGCCAACUAAGUCAGACGUGAAAUCCCUCGGCUUAACCGGGGAACUGCGUCUGAGACUGGAUGGCUUGAGUGUGGGAGAGGGAUGCGGAAUUCCAGGUGUAGCGGUGAAAUGCGUAGAUAUCUGGAGGAACACCGGUGGCGAAGGCGGCAUCCUGGACCAUAACUGACACUGAUAAGCGAAAGCCAGGGGAGCAAACAGG